CCUGCCGGACCUGACUGCUAUCGGAUUGAUACUAAGCCAUGCGAGUCUUUGCAGUAAUGCAAGGCAUACGGCUCAGUAGCACGUAGUCAACCUACCCUAUGGACGAGAAUAAUCUCGGGAAACUGAGCAUAAUUCUUGAUAGAUCAUAAUGCCUGGAAUGGUUUAUGGUUAAAAUGAUUCGUCGCCAUAGGAUGGGACUGCGGCCUAUCAGCUUGUUGGUGAGGUAAUGGCCCACCAAGGCGAUUACAGGUACGGGCUCUGAGAGGAGAAGCCCGGAGAUGGGUACUGAGACACGGACCCAGGCCCUAUGGGGCGCAGCAGGCGAGAAAACUUUGCAAUGUGCGAAAGCACGACAAGGUUAAUCCGAGUGAUUUCUGCUAAAGAAAUCUUUUGCCAGUCAUAAAACCACUGGUGAAUAAGGGGUGGGCAAGUUCUGGUGUCAGCCGCCGCGGUAAAACCAGCACCUCAAGUGGUCAGGAUGAUUAUUGGGCCUAAAGCAUCCGUAGCCGGCUUUGUAAGUUUUCGGUUAAAUCCAUGUGCUCAACGCAUGGGCUGCCGAAAAUACUGCAUAGCUAGGGAGUGGGAGAGGUAGACGGUACUCAGUAGGUAGGGGUAAAAUCCUUUGAUCUAUUGAUGACCACCUGUGGCGAAGGCGGUCUACCAGAACACGUUCGACGGUGAGGGAUGAAAGCUGGGGGAGCAAACCGGAUUAGAUACCCGGGUAGUCCCAGCUGUAAACGAUGCAGACUCGAUGAUGCAUUGGCAUAAUAGCCAGUGCAGUGUCGCAGGGAAGCCGUUAAGUCUGCCGCCUGGGAAGUACGUACGCAAGUAUGAAACUUAAAGGAAUUGGCGGGGAGCACCACAAGGGUGAAGCCUGCGGU
rnacentral:rRNA from 1 species